UAGAGAGAAGCGAUUACGCAAUCGGUUUCGGCCCGAAGACUGGGAGUCUACAGCAUUCCCCUCYCUAG
rnacentral:tRNA from 1 species